AGUGCGAUCAUGACCUGAGCUGAAGUUGGACGCUUAACUGACUGAGCCACCCGGGCACCCCAGCUUCCAGGCCUUUCUCCUGUCUUGUCUCCACAUAGCUACGUGAAUGAACUGAUCUCACACCUCCAUGGCUAUAGAAUCUUCUGCAGCAUCCCAUCACAUUCAGGAUAAUCACAAGGAUUGGAGACUUGCAAUCACUAAUUCUUCACCUCAUACUUGUCCACUUUGCCGUGUGAUGAGCUUAAAACCCUGAGAAAAAGAUUUUGAAAAUCAUUUCUGCGCAUUGUAUGUUACCUUUCCAUUUCUGUCAACAUGGGGUACUGUGCAACAGAGACAGGAUUGAUAAAAAACCACAAUAACAAAAAGAAGUCCUUAUUUGAUUUGAAAAGCUCCAAAGAAUGCAUGUUGCCACUUAUUCCAAGUGUCUUCUCCUGUUUCUGCAACCUCCGUCAAGUCAAAGGACUUUGCAAAAUUAUAUUUGGCAUGUGGAUACAUCACUUCAUCCGCCAGUAAAACACACAUGCCCCCUUACAAGUAAAACAGAGCAACUGUACCAAGGGACCUUGGCAGUUUUAUAGCAGAGAGGAAAGGCAAAGAUGAGAGCUCACAGGAAGCCCUCCCCAAAGUGCUGAGCCUUGGAAGAUGAAAAACAUGAGUACCAUGCAUGAGAUGGAGAUGACAGUGCACCUCCUUACAAUGAAAUGAGAGCAGGAGGAACCAAGGACAGGAUCUGGAUAGUCCACAAACGAAGGGCCAGCCGAAUGAGCUAUUUUUCACUUCAACUCUCUCCGUCUUGCCUGCUGCCACCACCUGGUCUUGUCACCACAACAUUCCUUAACACCCCAGUAGGGAAAAGGCAAACCAGAGGCAGACAGCCCUGGGCCCUAGAGUCUCAAGUCCACCAUCUGAUGAAGUGGCUUUGGGCAGGUUACCAAUCUCUGGGUCAUAAUGGAACAUGCACUGUGAAUAUCGUAAGUAGUCAUGCAAGGAGAGUACAUUGUAGCAGGUCUAUCACAGGAUGAGUGCUCAAUAAAAUUUAGUUACUGUUAUAGUGUAUUGUAUUGACAGAUAGGAUUAUAUUAGGUUACAUUACCUAUUACAUGCCCUACCUUGUUGCGUAUUGCGUUUAUUGCACUGCCUGGCGCUGUAUCGUAUCAUAUUACAUACAGUACUAGUAAAUUUACACUUCCUUGCAGAACCUGUGUCUAUCGGUGUGUUGGCCAAAGUAACACCCUUCAAAAAUAUGUCCUCUAAGUGCUUCUUGACUUUCUUCCCCAGACUCAAGACCAAUCCUUAGUUCUCUGUUGGGUGCUUCUACGAAGUAGAACGCAGUGCUCGUCAAGAAGAAAAUCUACUUGUCCUUCUUCUCAGACUUUUCAGCUGCAUCCAUGGCAAAUCCUGGCUGUCUUGCAGGGCUUUCUCCGUCUUCCCACUCAGAAGUCAUGGGGGUUCAGAAUCCUCAAGGGAGCUCUGUGUCUGCAGAAGAAAAUCAGCUUCGAUCUCCUCUGUUGACCUGACUUUCACCCUUCCCCUCCAGCAUUCCAGGCUCCCACUCACAUCAACAAGCUGCAUUUUUAAGAGUUGGUUGAGACUGAGCAGUUAAGGUUAAGAGAGCUCAAGAAUGGGGCCAAAGCACUGGGGGGGCCUGGGAGGGCUCAGUCAGUUGGGUGUCCCACUUCGGCUCAGGUCAUGAUCUCAUGGCUUGUGAGUUAGAGCCUUGCAUUGGACUUUGAGCUGACAACUCAGAGCCAGAAGCCUGCUUCAGAUUCUGUGUCCCUCUCUUACUUUGCCCCUACUCUGCUCAUGCUCUGUCUCUAAGAAUAAAUAAACAUUAAAAAAAUUAAAAACAACAACAAAAAAAGAAGAAUGGGGCCAAAGCAGAGUCUGACAGCACUCAGGCCAGUGUUCGUGAAGAGCCAGGGUUUGCCAGUACCCUUGGACUGUUUGCCUUACCCUGGAAAAGGGAUUGAGAGCUGAAGACAGGGCAUCAAAUCAGAGAAAUCAGGUCAUGAAGUCCCCAUUUCUAAGGAGUGGAACAUGCUCAAGGAAGAGAGCAACUUUCCCCCAGCCUGACAGAAUGCAACAUAAUUGGUUUGUGCCAAACAUGGCAAUUCCAUUCCCUUUUCCCUAUGAUUGACUUGGGAGCUGGCAUGUGACCCAAUUCUGACCAGUGAGACUAGAGAGACAAUCUGUUGAUGAUAUCUUCUCCCAAGAUUUAUGUUUUCUGCUACAAAGAGUAACAGCCAGUUCCCUCCUGCCUGACUUGAAUGUAAUUGCAUGGGAACAUGAUACUUGGAGCUACAGCAGCCAUUCUGUGAUCAUGAGGCAACAAGCCAAAGGGCACAGGAUAAAACAGUGAAAAGACAGAAUGAUAUCAUUAGAUUAGAUGAUAUCAUUAAACUGCUGAACCAAUCUGGAACCAAUGACUUCUAGACUUUGAUAAUUCGUGAGAUGAUUAAAAAUUUCUAUUGU